AUUUCUGUCCCCCUCGCCAUUUCCCACACAGUGUGGCGAGAGCCGGCCGCGUGGCGGAUCAUCGUCGCCGCCCCUCGCAUCCUCGUCGUGCCGCCGCACCGCAAGGGUUGCUCGUGUUCGACGGGAUGCCACCGCUGGGACCCGGGAGAGGUACUAGCCAUUCCCCUCCCCACGCGCGCUAGAUUUCAGGUGCCGUCCAGUGUGCUCUCGCGUCCUGUUUGUGCAGCCUCGGUUUCUGCAUCCCCUGAGCGGCUGAGCCCCGGUGAUUUCGAGGAAACAUGAUCGUUUUCGAAUUUCGACGGAGGGUUCUUCAUGGGGGACUCAUGAGCUCGCGUCAUCGUUGUCUGUGUGGGCCUAUGUCGCGCUGGUCCCAUGCGCGCCACGGGAACGCCUUGCUAUGAGCUCCUCCUGCUGCCUGCGCCACGGGAAUGCCUUGCUAUGAGCUCCUCCUGCUGCCUGCGCUGUAUGGCUGUAUUGGCUCUCGUGCAGCAGGUGGGUUGGGUGUGAGAUGAAUGUGCUGAGGCCUGUGGCUGUUCGCCUGUUUCAGUUAUUGGUGCACAGGUGUUUCGCAAGUUGUCACCUGUCAAGUAGAUGUUUCUAGUAUGGGCCCGACUCCAUUGAUGGAUGAUUAAUAACAAAGCUGAGGAAAAUUCAUUCUGAAGCAAGAAACUUGCUCACAAGAUUAACUGCAGAUGUGAUUUGUCGGAUGUUGAUGACUGGCUAAAUGAAGAGCCACUUUAACACCACAUUUCAAAAUCAGCCCCUUACCUCUGGUUUUUUUCCCCUUACUUCGGAUGUUUGGUUUGCACAUAGACUAUAGCUUCUACAAUACAAUUAAUUUGUGUGAGUUUUCUUAAUUACACUUGAUGAUUAGUGGGGGGAGAAAAAGACAUGAAUCGAUAUGUCAUGUAACCAAUGAUAUGGUGGCCUGGUGAGAAAUUUUUGUGCAAUUUUAUGAGAAGGUAUGAAACAAUGUUUUUUAAGCACCAUUUGAGGAGCUUCGGAACUUUUAUGAAACUGGUCUGUAGUUUUUUUUUUUUUGAAGCUAGAGCUUGUAGAGCUGAAUUUGUUUGGAUAGAAGAAGCUGAAAUAGACUUGAAAUUGUCGAAGCCAAGAAACAGGGCUCUGCUUGUAUUCUAAGUUACGUACGGGAACCUUAUGGCCUCCAUGCAUUCCUUCCGGAAGAUGGCAGCGCCCAGGUUACUUACUGGACACAUAGUCGUCGUCGGCGUCGGAACUCAAUAGAUUUUCUACAUUUUAAGAAUGGAUCGUGCCAUCGUGGUCUUGUGGGGACUUCUGCUGAUUGAGAAGGACUGAACGAGAAGGAGCAAUCACCUUCCCGUGGUACUGCCUGUCAUCAUGUGCCAAAUUAUUGUCACGUGAGUAGCGACACUGCUGCUCCAAAGAUCUAUGUCAGGGCUUACAUUGACAGGUUCCUCAUCCAGGUCAAUAAUGUCGUGCUACCGGCCCCAUCUAGCGUAAUGUCAGCACUGUCGUCUUGAACUGUGCGUAGCAGAUGGAAGCGCAGGUGCGGGGGGCCCUGCUCAUCUGAAGUCUGAACGGAUCCCCGCCUUGUGCAUCAGUUCUGUUAUUAUCGUAACACUGUAUGUUCUUAGCUGUGCAGAUUUUGCUGUUGUAGAAGGUUGUGUGGAAGUUGGAUCUCUUUUCCAUUUUGGCAUCAGUUCUGUUAUUAUCUGAAGGCUGUGCAUCAGUCCUGGAUGCAGCUAAUGUACUGCAGUAAAUGAUAAUCUCUGGAAAUUUCGUCAGGUUCUCCUUUGCUCAGAAAAGCUGGCUCAAGAACCACUAGCAAGGAUUUUAAAAUGGCAAACAUUGCAUUCAAAAGGCGAGUUAUCAGGCUCACUGCUAGCCUUUUCUUGAAGACCAUGCUUGUUCAUAACCUUGAGGAGGCAGUGGCUUCUUGGAAAGCAAGGAAAUCAAGUGGUUGAUUGCCUGAUGGAUGUAUCAUGGGCAUUUUGUUGGUCCAGUCUUAGUUGGCCCCCCUGUGUGUGCCAGUUCGUGGGUCGCCUCUGCUACGCAUUUUUCCAGGGGGACCAUCUCUUAUAUCUGCUGCAUCCUCAUCUUGGUAGCUUUCAAUCUCGUGAUGGUUACUUCUAGUGCCCCACCAUCAUGGCAUUUCCAUGUGUAUUCUUUCUUUGGUAGCCCCAUGUUUUGCAUCCAUGCAGCGAUUCUGCAAUGAAACUGCUAGGUUGAACAUCAAAAGGUAAAAGUUGAAGAUUUCUAUGAAUAUCUUACAUGGAUGACGUGAUUAAACUGUACUUUGUAGUUGGGACCCUUUGAUAUAUUUUUUUCUUUUCCUCGGUAUGUGUUAAGUAGGUUGGGUCUACUUUAUCAUUAUGGCAGUCACAUGACCCAUUUGCGCUGAUGUUAAGAUAAACAACUUGGUGUUCAAAAGUCUUAAUCAUGUAACCCUGGGAUAGGGCUCAACUUUCGCCACUAAGGAAAGAACCCUGGCACAUGGCUUGUGCUCUAGACUUCUUAGUAAGCAGACAGGAAAUCUUGUCGUUGAUACGGUAGUUAACCUACUUGUUUAAUCAUCAUUACCGCAGUUGCCACAAAAUCCCAUUCAGAUGAAUCUGAAACCUGCGCAGUCAUCUUUCCAUUAAUCAAUCUAAUGCUCUGGGACCAUGUUUCUCUGUUCUGUAUCUAUAUGUAGCAAAUGAAUACCUAGCUCUCAGGAUACUUACAGUAUCCCGUGGUCUUUAAGCUAAGAACUAACAAGUCCUUGCUACUGAGCUACAUGGAACACUUUUUUGUUAAGCAUAUUAUAGACACAUCAUGCAUAUAUUUGUCUCUAUCUUUGAUGUGUUUCACAAACCGAAGCUACAGUAACCCCUUUGGCUUAUUACCCUCGGUUAAGAACUAAUGUUUCGCAAGUUGAUUCUCCUCUAGGUGUAUACUUCAUUUUAUUGACUGGCUGUCUAAGUAAUAAACUGUUGUUAGGCCCGUACCAGCUAUUUUUUUGCCCCUUCUUUGCAUAGGCAACAAAAGCAGGAGACAGCCCUCUGUUUUUCUUUUGAUACAUGCUGUGAGGAAUCUUCAUGCUUAUUGGAGUUUUGCGGCCUUUUGUGUCGAACCUUGCCCCUUAGACCAUCAACUUAGGCAGCCUUUUUCUUAGUAUCCUACUAGGGCAAUUGAUCCCACUUGCACACUUAAACUUUUGUUGCACCUUUCCUUCCCCAGGGAACAAAAAGGUGGAGACCGGCUUUAAAAGAUUAGGACAUGAAAAUCCCCAGGUGUCAGCAUCGCUUAUGCGGUAUGCCCCCAUCAUUUCAUUAAAAUUGAAGCGAUGGUGUGCAUGGAAGGUCACUGCUUACAAAAUCUCGGGCGCGUGCAAGGGAGACCGUCGCAAUUGACAGCAUAAAAAGGAUCAGCACUCACAACAUUCUUAUACAAUUGACUGAUUUUUUUCCCCCUAUAAUCUUCCGAAACAGGAUUGCCACUUUUUUUUGCGGAGAAAAGGUCAAGUACAUUACUUUUACGAAGUGAAAGCAUUGCACCACCACUGAUGAACCGCAGGAUAGAACAGUAGAAGCAGGGAGAUGCUGGAGCGAGGGAACAAAAUCCCCAUGGGGAUAUUGCAUUGUUUCUUCAGGAGGCAGGCAGGCACACACAUCAACUUCACAGUUUGUUCUCUAUCGGACCCACAAAUUAAGACAUAUAGGUACAGAUGACACACACAUACAUACACACACAUCUCUCUCUGUCUGUUGUCUCUCGUUCCAGCUCCUUGGCAGCUUGAUGCUUCCUGCAAACCUCCCACGCAUGCCCGGCCCCCUGCUACCAGAUCCCCUACAGUAAGUAGGGUUUUCUGGAAGCCAUGGAGAAGAAAAUAAAAAUUAAAAAAAAAAAACGGAACAGCAAAAAGGCAGCAGCAUUCUUCUGGGGGCGGGGAUGGAAGGAAGAUUGCCCGGGAAACAAGGGAUCUCUCUCCACUUCCUUCCUUCCUUUUUUUUUCUCCCCGUGUACAGGUCAAUUCAAUCCUGUCACUUCGUGUGCAAGUAGUACUAGGCGGCUGCUGCUGCUGCUAGCAACUACUACUGCUACUACUUUGGCUGUUUGGAUUCUGCAGGCAUAAUCUUAAAUCUCCUCGUCAUGCUGGUAUGGACUGCCCCUGACGUAUUAGAAGUUCGAAAACUCGUUAGCUAUGGUUUUAUAUAUGAUAUGACGCGGGUCAAAUUCUGAUGGGUUUUUUUUCGUUCAGUGCUGACCAGUUGUUGUAAGCGUAGGGGCUUUGGUGCAUGUAGCCGUACAUCGCCGUUGGUGUCUCCGGCUCCGGCCCCGGGCCGCAGUCGAGGUUUACGCCGAACAGCCGGAGCCGCCGCGACGGUGGCGGCGGUGCCGAAGCUGCACUGCAGCUCCUGUUGUCUCUGUCGGACUGAGAUUCUCCUGCAAUUGUUCACCCCACAGCAGUGCAUAAGAGGACAACCUGUGCCUGCCUCCGUCGAGGACGCUAUAUGGCGGACACCAACCAACUGCAAAUUAAAAGAGAGAAUACUUCUCUAAUCUCUCUGUGUUAGAGAGCACCUCCUGUUGUUGGAGGAUCGGGAUGCAGGACGACGCAAGGUAUACGAUCUGUUUUCCCUGCGUUUUUAAUGACAGAUCUCUGUAUCAAGCGCGCCGGUAUAAUAUAUUUUUCCCCCCGUAUCAUUAUAUGGAGGGCGGAAAUCGGCGAUGUCGCUUUGCUUGGUACUUUGGAGACAAGCAUUCCGUCACAUGGUUCAGUCAGUACGUGGCUGGAUACAUUGUAUGCUGACUAAUAAGAUAUGCUAUUGUGGAGUAUUAUUCAGCUUGUCAACCUUUGGGAAACCGGAGGGGCCUGUAUGGGUUGUCCCUCUCGUUCUGUUAGUAGGUACGGUCAAGAGUCUCUAUAGUAGUGAUGACCGGACGGUAUCUUCAAAGGUGAUCACACCCUCUGUUCGUUCUGUUUGCUUGGCUCUUUCUAACAUUUAGAAUUAGAUUAGGUUAAGUUACUUCCAUACAUUUCAAAGUCCAAGGGUCUAAAGUACUCUCGCUGCUCUCCGUAUUUACGGGUGAAGGCUUACGUCGGUUUAUCUUUUUUUUCCAGACUCCAUUCAUGCAUAUGGGGUGCCUGCCUUUGACACUAGAUCUACUCUAUCGUA